AACCACCCGCCACUCCUCCAUCUUCCCCGCUCGCGUACGCCUCGAUCCGCUUUCCCCUCCUCCCGCCGGCUGGGUUCAUCCAAUCCCCUCCCGGCGCCGGUAUCGUCCGGUCUCGUCUCGCGGGGGUUCGUCUCUAUAUUCAGUUCCCCCCCUCUCCGUUUGUUUUUCUGUUCCUUCGUUGGCGACCACGCCGAGGAACUGAAAGGUAGCCAGUCGCGCCG
rnacentral:lncRNA from 1 species